AUGCACGCUGGCGGCGUGCCUAAUGCAUGCAAGUCGAGCGAACAGACGAGGAGCUUGCUCCUCUGACGUUAGCGGCGGACGGGUGAGUAACACGUGGAUAACCUACCUAUAAGACUGGGAUAACUUCGGGAAACCGGAGCUAAUACCGGAUAAUAUAUUGAACCGCAUGGUUCAAUAGUGAAAGACGGUUUUGCUGUCACUUAUAGAUGGAUCCGCGCCGCAUUAGCUAGUUGGUAAGGUAACGGCUUACCAAGGCAACGAUGCGUAGCCGACCUGAGAGGGUGAUCGGCCACACUGGAACUGAGACACGGUCCAGACUCCUACGGGAGGCAGCAGUAGGGAAUCUUCCGCAAUGGGCGAAAGCUUGACGGAGCAACGCCGCGUGAGUGAUGAAGGUCUUCGGAUCGUAAAACUCUGUUAUUAGGGAAGAACAAAUGUGUAAGUAACUAUGCACGUCUUGACGGUACCUAAUCAGAAAGCCACGGCUAACUACGUG
rnacentral:rRNA from 1 species